CUCAACAUCCCUGGAAGUGCAGCCGGAAAUGCAGUGGUGGGACAGAGAUGGAAGUCGCUUUCAAACGACCAGAAAGCCAGAUAUUUCAAGCAGGCUGAAACAGAAAGACAGAAUCAUGCCAAAGAGCAUCCAGCCUGGUCGACCAAAGAAAACUAUCCCUUCAGUUCCAGACAGAGGAAGCCUUUGUCGCAGACAGUGAGGAAGAACUGCUGUCAGUGCUGGAAGAGCUCGACCCCCUCCCCAUCACUGCACAGUCUCAGCAGCCCUCACCCACCCCUGCCUCUCCUGUAGAUGCCUCUCAAACUGCAUCAGUUCAACCCCGAGUUGAAUUAUUUCAAGACCGAGAUGAGCCCAUCUGUUUUGCUGAAAUCCAAGAAGACAUGUGGUCAGUGCUUGACUACCUCCCCGUCUCUCAGCAGUCUAAUGUGCUCUCCUCUCCUCAUUCACACAACUACUCGACUCCUAAACAAAAUCUCAUCUGUCCUGCUGAUUCCCCUCCAUCCAAACUGGCGUCCUCCCCUGUUGCAUUCACUGAAUUGCCGUCAACAACCCCCAUCUUUUGCCAACUAAUGAAAAACAAUAAUUUCAUUAUAGACGAUUGGACCGAUUUCAA